ACUAAAAACACAAUACCAAUAUUUUUUACAAUAACACAUUCGACAUGUACUUCCAAUAGUACACACCAACCGCUAUUUUCAAAGCGAAUGUGUAGAGUGAAAAUUUCAAACAAUAAAUACAAUAAUCAAAUGGAACGGGAUUUUAACGUAGUGCGCAAUUUGGAAGUGAUAAGAGUGAUUUAUUUUUCAACUUGUCCAUCUCCGUAAUAUACGUUUAGUUGUGAGAUGUUCACAGUUUUCCCCCAAAAACAGGCCUUCACGUGCGAAGUCAAAGUGGGUGGGGAACGUGUAUUUCGAGUCGCUGGAACUUCAUAAUGAAGCUGCUUUUGUGCAAUAUUCAGCGACGUUACCAGCUGUGUGUUAGACGAAACGAAAAUCUUUUGGUUUUGCAUCGUGUAUUGAGACUGUCAGGGUGACAUAAUGGAUUAAUUGCUGUUUGAGUGACAAUAAAUGAACAUGUUUGUGUUUGGAGAUUGCUGAGGUUAAUAUCUUCACAAUUGGGAAAUCCCAACAUAAGUUGUCUGCCAGUUUGACCACUGAUCUGCAUAAUAUCAGUGGGAGAGCAUGCUGAAUCCCGCAGCUUCUUCACCAUAUGUUUCCUGGCCGAGUGGUUGAAAGUUGCGACCACACAUUCCAUGGGUGAUGAUAUCUACCAAAAUUCUUGGCGACACAGUUCUACCCUCGUCAGUUGCACUUGUCCGAGUCUUUCUCUGCCUCUCAACCAACUCGAGAUAUUCCCCCCCCCAACUGCAUCCCGGCACAGCUUCACAUCAACCCAUGUAAUUAAUUUGUCGGAGAGGUUGACCACACAAAUUUCCUGUUUGGUUGUGGAGAUAGAAUCAUUUUUUGUGAAAGUUUAAUUUCAGACACUUAAAAAUUGAAAUUGUCAUGUAUUAUUAGGCAUGGCAGGCAUUAGCAAAGCAUCUCAAUCAAGUAUUAAUUAUUUUACUUUGUCAAUGUUAAUUCAUUGUGUAUGCUAUUCACCUGUUUGCCUUGCUUUUUAUAUGAAUGACACAAAAAAGGAAAGCAUUUGUAAAGAAUUAGUUAAUUUUUUUUAUAUAAUCUUAGACGAGAUGUUUAGUGAAUAUUUGUCAUAAAUUCUUCUUUAACUGAUCAAAUAUGUCAUAUUUUAUUUAAAACGUGUUAAGUAUAUUUGUGUUACGUUUUAAAUGUUUAUCAUUACUGUUUUAAAUUGUGUUCAUCUGCAGCCAAUGAAUGGUAGCGGUGCACCUUUGUAUUUGUUUAUUUUUUUUUCCAUUGAUUAAUGCUCAUUUAAUUUUUAUAUCAUUUUGUAUUAAUAAUAUUGUGUCUAUUAAAGUUGUAAUUUGUUCAAGUUGUGCCAUAAAAAUGUUAUUAAAACACUCUAUUUUGAAAUGUUAUCUCCUGUUGGAUUUGUUUUAUUUUAUUAUAAUAUGAAAUGUUUUUCUUUUAAUGGCAGAAAGUUGCGACCACACAUUCCAUGGAUGAUGAUAUCUACCAAAAUUCUUGGCGGCACAGUUCUACCCUCGUCAGUUGCACUUGUCCGAGUCUUUCUCUGCCUCUCAACCAACUCGAGAUAUUCCCCCCCAACUGCAUCCCGGCACAGCUUCACAUCAACCCAUGUAAUUAAUUUGUCGGAAAGGUUGACCACACAAAUUUCCUGUUUGGUUGUGGAGAUAGAAUCAUAUUUUUUGUGAAAGUUUAAUUUCAGACACUUAAAAAUUGAAAUUGUCAUGUAUUAUUAGGCAUGGCAGGCAUUAGCAAAGCAUCUCAAUCAAGUAUUAAUUAUUUUACUUUGUCAAUGUUAAUUCAUUGUGUAUGCUAUUCACCUAUUUGCCUUGCUUUUUAUAUGAAUGACACAAAAAAGGAAAGCAUUUGUAAAGAAUUAGUUAAUUUUUUUAUAUAAUCUUAGACGAGAUGUUUAGUGAAUAUUUGUCAUAAAUUCUUCUUUAACUGAUCAAAUAUGUCAUAUUUUAUUUAAAACGUGUUAAGUAUAUUUGUGUUACGUUUUAAAUGUUUAUCAUUACUGUUUUAAAUUGUGUUCAUCUGCAGCCAAUGAAUGGUAGCGGUGCACCUUUGUAUUUGUUUAUUUUUUUUCCAUUGAUUAAUGCUCAUUUAAUUUAUAUUUCCCUAUAGAAAUAUACUUAAUAAAGUGUUAUUUUUGUUUUAAAAAAACAACUUAUUGUUUAUUAAUGUUCUUACUUCUGAAUAAAAUAUGAAUCGCU